GGGAUCAUUACACAAAUAUGAAGGCGGGCUGGAACCUCUCGGGGUUACAGCCUUGCUGAAUUAUUCACCCUUGUCUUUUGCGUACUUCUUGUUUCCUUGGUGGGUUCGCCCACCACUAGGACAAACAUAAACCUUUUGUAAUUGCAAUCAGCGUCAGUAACAAAUUAAUAAUUACAACUUUCAACAACGGAUCUCUUGGUUCUGGCAUCGAUGAAGAACGCAGCGAAAUGCGAUAAGUAGUGUGAAUUGCAGAAUUCAGUGAAUCAUCGAAUCUUUGAACGCACAUUGCGCCCUUUGGUAUUCCAAAGGGCAUGCCUGUUCGAGCGUCAUUUGUACCCUCAAGCUUUGCUUGGUGUUGGGCGUCUUGUCUCUAGCUUUGCUGGAGACUCGCCUUAAAGUAAUUGGCAGCCGGCCUACUGGUUUCGGAGCGCAGCACAAGUCGCACUCUCUAUCAGCAAAGGUCUAGCAUCCAUUAAGCCUUUUUUUCAACUUUUGACCUCGGAUCAGGUAGGAUACCCGCU
rnacentral:rRNA from 1 species